GAUGAGCCCGCGUUGGAUUAGCUAGUUGGUGGGGUAAAGGCCUACCAAGGCGACGAUCCAUAGCUGGUCUGAGAGGAUGAUCAGCCACAUUGGGACUGAGACACGGCCCAAACUCCUACGGGAGGCAGCAGUGGGGAAUAUUGGACAAUGGGCGCAAGCCUGAUCCAGCCAUGCCGCGUGAGUGAUGAAGGUCUUAGGAUUGUAAAGCUCUUUCACCGGGGACGAUAAUGACGGUACCCGGAGAAGAAGCCCCGGCUAACUUCGUGCCAGCAGCCGCGGUAAUACGAAGGGGGCUAGCGUUGUUCGGAAUUACUGGGCGUAAAGCGCAUGUAGGCGGAUAUUUAAGUCAGGGGUGAAAUCCCGGGGCUCAACCCCGGAACUGCCUUUGAUACUGGGUAUCUUGAGUGUGGUAGAGGUGAGUGGAAUUGCGAGUGUAGAGGUGAAAUUCGUAGAUAUUCGCAGGAACACCAGUGGCGAAGGCGGCUCACUGGACCACAACUGACGCUGAGGUGCGAAAGCGUGGGGAGCAACCAGGAUUAGAUACCCUGGUAGUCCACGCC
rnacentral:rRNA from 1 species